CCACAUCGCCCACCAGUUGAUCCACCAGCAUCCCCGUGACCAACGCGACGACCUCCCGCUCCUCCUCGCCGACCUGCAUCCACCUGCGGCCCCGCCCCAUCUCCGCCACGAUGUCCGCCCCGCCGCCACUGAGCACGUCCUUCAAGCCCCACCGCCCAUUCGCCGUUCCCUCCAGCCAGCCCCUGGCCGCUGCCACAGCCUCGCCGUCUACCAGCAGCCGCUCAGCCUCCCGUCGCAGCAGACCGGCCGCCGGCCCAGGGAGCUUGUUGCACGGCUCGGCGUGCGCUUCCGACCGCCGGCGUUUCGUGACCUCCACGAAGAAGUCGAGCAGAAGCCGUUCCGACACGCCGUCCAGGCCAGCCGAGACCGUGCGC
rnacentral:misc_RNA from 1 species